AGCGAACGUUAGCGGCGGGCCUAACACAUGCAAGUCGAGCGAGAACCCAGGCUUCGGCCUGGGGGAAAGCGGCGAACGGGUGAGUAACACGUGGGUAAUCUGCCCUCGGCAUCGGGAUAGCCCGGGGAAACCCGGAUUAAUACCGGAUGGCCCGACAGCUCUUCGGAGCGGUCGGAAAAGGUAGCUUCGGCCUCCGGCCGAGGAGGAGCCCGCGGCGGAUUAGCUUGUUGGUGAGGUAAUGGCUCACCAAGGCUCCGAUCCGUUGCUGGUCUGAGAGGACGAUCAGGCACACUGGGACUGAGACACGGCCCAGACUCCUACGGGAGGCAGCAGUGGGGAAUCUUGCGCAAUGGGCGAAAGCCUGACGCAGCGACGCCGCGUGAGGGAAGAAGGCCUUCGGGUUGUAAACCUCUUUCAGGAGGGACGAAGCCACUCGGGUUAAUAGCCCAGAGGGUGACGGUACCUCCAGAAGGAGCCCCGGCUAACUACGUGCCAGCAGCCGCGGUAA
rnacentral:rRNA from 1 species